UCCCUCAUGGUCCAGUGGCUAAGACUCUGUCCUUCCAAUGCAGGGAGCCUGGGUUCGAUCCCUGGCCAGGGAA
rnacentral:tRNA from 1 species